rnacentral:lncRNA from 1 species
GUGGGAGGCGCUGAAGUUCUCCAACCCGUCGCGAAGUAAUUCCGUUCCUUCGAUGGUGACCCCGGGGGUUCCUGCAAAGGGGGAAUGGCUCCCUGGUGGCGUUCCCUCCCGCUCGGGCCACUACAUGAACACUGUUGGAGAUUCUGGGAAUUUAGAGAAGACGGAGUCAGACCCUCCGGAGAGGUUUACACUGAGAAGGAUGAGAGGCAACGGACAAUUUGGAAAAGGAAAUUUUGACUUUGAUACCAAGAAGGAAAGAUCACAAUGAGUGUGAUAAAAAACCUGAAACAGGUGCCCAGGGAGGCUGUGGGAUCCAUAUCCUUGGAGGUAUUCAAAACUAGCUGUACAAGGCCCUGAGCAACCUGUUGCUGGGCUCCAUUUGAGUAAAGGUCUGCAGCGGUCCCUUUCCAUCUGCACCAAUCUCUGACACUUUUAUGAAGCCCAUUAGCUUCAUAAGCCCAUUAGCAGGAAAAGAAAAAAGGGAAUCAUUUCCACACUUUUUUGAAAGAGCAGUAAUUCUCAUGCUCUUGGUGAAGAACCAAUGGAGCAAUAUGGCAUUUUAACAUGUUAGCUAAGGAGAAAGAAUCAUAAACUAUUUGCAUGAGCAUAAAGCAAAGGGGACAAAUCCUGCUGGUAGCUGAGCACACGUA